CUUCUUACUGCCAUCCCAUCAAACCACUUUUGAUUGUUUAGUUUUUCCUUUAGUAAUAAUCAAUAUAUGAAGAGCUUGUAAAGGAGAUGUUAAUUGAAGGGACUAUUCAUCCAUCAUUCUAUUUCCUCUACAUUUCCAGAUGUGAUAUAUCAAAGGCAUCACUAAAAUUUUCCGAUGUCUUGUCUUUCAUAAUUUGGCUGUGUUAUCAAAUUAAAGGAACGUGGCAAAAUAACAUAGUGGCAGUGGCAGAGGCAUCGCGAUAUUUACCAAAUUUUCCCGACUGAUUUGAGCCGUACGACUUGUUGCUUGAAUCUUCCUAUCAAUGCUUCGAAGGUUUCUGCACAUCCCUUUCUCUAACAUCAGUCAGUCAAAUGAAAAGGCGUUGUGAUCAUGCAUUUGUUACCCUGUGAAACGACACGUUUAGCCUACAAUCAUUCAAGCACUUCCAUUACGAAAUUUCGUUGUACCCAUACAACACAAAAGGGCAAAACAAAGAUUCUUUAAUUAAAAUAACCAACAA